CCUACGGGAGGCAGCAGUGAGGAAUAUUGGUCAAUGGGCGCGAGCCUGAACCAGCCAAGUAGCGUGAAGGAUGACUGCCCUACGGGUUGUAAACUUCUUUUAUAAAGGAAUAAAGUGAGGCACGUGUGCCUGUUUGUAUGUAUUUUAUGAAUAAGGAUCGGCUAACUCCGUGCCAGCAGCCGCGGUAAUACGGAGGAUCCGAGCGUUAUCCGGAUUUAUUGGGUUUAAAGGGAGCGUAGGUGGAUUGUUAAGUCAGUUGUGAAAGUUUGCGGCUCAACCGUAAAAUUGCAGUUGAAACUGGCAGUCUUGAGUACAGUAGAGGUGGGCGGAAUUCGUGGUGUAGCGGUGAAAUGCUUAGAUAUCACGAAGAACUCCGAUUGCGAAGGCAGCUCACUGGACUGCAACUGACACUGAGGCUCGAAAGCGUGGGGAUCAAACAGGAUUAGAUACCCCGGUAGUC
rnacentral:rRNA from 1 species